CACGAGGGCGCAAGCGUUGUCCGGAAUUAUUGGGCGUAAAGAGCUCGUAGGCGGUCUGUUGCGUCCGCUCGUGAAAACCCGGGGCUUAACCCCUGGCUUGCAGUGGAUACGGACAGACUAGAGGUAGGUAGGGGAGAAAUGGAAUUCCCGGUGUAGCGGUGAAAUGCGCAGAUAUCGGGAGGAACACCGGUGGCGAAGGCGGUUCUCUGGGACGGUACUGGACGCUGAGACGCGAAAGCGUGGGGAGCGAACAGG
rnacentral:rRNA from 1 species